UACGUAGGUGGCAAGCGUUGUUCGGAAUUAUUGGGCGUAAAGGGCGCGUAGGCGGUUUGUUAAGUCGGGGGUGAAAUCCUGGAGCUCAACUCCAGAAUUGCCUUCGAUACUGGCUUUCUAGAGGCUGGAAGAGGUUAGUGGAAUUCCCAGUGUAGAGGUGAAAUUCGUAGAUAUUGGGAAGAACACCAGUGGCGAAGGCGGCUAACUGGUCCAGAUCUGACGCUGAGGUGCGAAAGCGUGGGGAGCAAACAGG
rnacentral:rRNA from 1 species